rnacentral:rRNA from 1 species
AGUGAACGCUGGCGGUAUGCCUAACACAUGCAAGUCGAACGGCAACACAGUAACGGGUUGCUCUGACGGGUGGCGGGUGGCGGACGGGUGAGGAAUACAUCGGAAGCUACGUUUUCGUGGGGGAUAACGUAGGGAAACUUACGCUAAUACCUCAUACGGCCUACGGGUGAAAGCAGGGCAUCUUCUGACCUUGCGCGAUUGAAUGAGCCGAUGUCGGAUUAGCUAGUUGGCGGGGUAAAGGCCCACCAAGGCGACGAUCCGUAGCUGGUCUGAGAGGAUGACCAGCCACACUGGAACUGAGACACGGCCCAGACUCCUACGGGAGGCAGCAGUGGGGAAUAUUGGACAAUGGGCGCAAGCCUGAUCCAGCAAUGCCGCGUGGGGGAAGAAGGCCUUCGGGUUGUAAAGCCCUUUUGGUAGGAACGAAAAGCAGCAGGCUAAUACCGCGCGGUUAUGACGGUACCCACAGAAUAAGCACCGGCUAACUUCGUG